rnacentral:misc_RNA from 1 species
CGCAUCGAGCGCGGAAGGUUCGCCGCCGCCGAGUGCCCAGAGGUCAGACAGGAUAUCGUGGACGGUCUUCAUGACAGGGCUCCAGCAUCAGCAGCAUCAUUGAUGCGGAUGAUGGAGGCCAGCACAAUUCACAAAUCGUAUCAGUGAAAAUCCCGCGAGCGUGGAAGAAUACGGACAUUGCGCGGAUGGCGUAUUUUGUGAACAGGGCUGUCCGAAUGCGCCUUCUGUUCUUCUUCCAGUGGCUCGAUGAUAUCCGCACCGGCAGGGAU